rnacentral:rRNA from 1 species
UGAAUACGUUCCCGGACCUUGCACACACCGCCCGUCAAGCCAUGGAAGCUGGGUGUACCUAAAGUCGGUAACCGUAAGGAGCCGCCUAGGGUAAAACUAGUGACUGGGGCU